rnacentral:rRNA from 1 species
GACGAACGCUGGCGGCGUGCUUAACACAUGCAAGUCGAGCGAUGAAGUUCCUUCGGGAACGGAUUAGCGGCGGACGGGUGAGUAACACGUGGGUAACCUGCCUCAUAGAGGGGAAUAGCCUUUCGAAAGGUAGAUUAAUACCGCAUAAGAUUGUAGUAUCGCAUGAUACAGCAAUUAAAGGAGUAAUCCGCUAUGAGAUGGACCCGCGUGGCAUUAGUUAGUUGGUGAGGUAACGGCUCACCAAGGCGACGAUGCGUAGCCGACCUGAGAGGGUGAUCGGCCAGAUUGGGACUGAGACACGGCCCAGACUCCUACGGGAGGCAGCAGUGGGGAAUAUUGCACAAUGGGGGAAACCCUGAUGCAGCAACGCCGCGUGAGUGAUGACGGUCUUCGGACUGUAAAGCUCUGUCUUCAGGGACGAUAAUGACGGUACCUGAGGAGGAAGCCACGGCUAACUACGUGCCAGCAGCCGCGGUAA